rnacentral:lncRNA from 1 species
UAAAGGGGUUCUUCAGUUUAAUUAAAAAAAAAAAAAAGGAGGGGGGGAAGGGAAAGUAGACAUGGUGCCUUUUAAGCAACAAUUCCAAGGGCAGAGGGGUUACCCAAGGCCACCCAUCGCCAGCUGAAAGCCUGUGUGAGCAGCGAGGAGCUGCAUUGAGGACAAAUCUGUGCUGCUGCUCAAUUACUUGGUGUAACAGCAACAUCUCCCCUCAGAGAGGAGGUGGAACGGGAAGAGCUGUGCUGGGGUCCAACCAUGGGUCCAAUGCACGAGGAACUGCAUCUGGGAGGUUGGCUGUUUCUUUGGGUCAAGAAACAUUAAUGGGUGAGAGGAAGCCGUGACUCAGCCACCGAUGAAUCACUGCUGCUCCAGAUUGUGCCUCCCUCGUCUUACUGGUGCCCCUCAAGCUGAUUAAGCCUGGACGAAACAAACUCCUGUCACACUGUGGGAUGUUGGUCUGAGCCCAGCCCUGGGACCAGCUGGAAAUCAAAUCCUACCUCCAGCCCCUGUUUUCCAUCCAUCCUUCCCAAACUCCUUAUUUCACU